UUAAUUAAUUAUGUAUUAUAAAUUCAGAGAUUUUCAAAACGCCGAUCGGGAAACUGAGGACGUCCUCAAAAUUCUAGGGUUUCUCAGCAACGUCGCAGAAGGGUUUCGAGAGCAACGGAAACAUCAUCGGUGAUGGAGGUCGAUCCGGAACCGUAUCCGUAGCAGCUAGACACUAGCGAGUUGGUGCAGUUCGCUAGGAUUUGAGAUCUUUAGCUGGGAUUUUGACAGUUGUGGCUAUCAUGGGGAUGAUGGGUGUCUUUUCUUAGAACGAACGUAUCGAAAACCUUUUGGCCCAACAUUUGCCACCUGGUGAUAUUGUCGGUGCUGGUAUUGAUUAUGCCUCAAAAAAGUUCUACUUCAUGUAAGUUUGGUUAGGCAUGUUAACUAUUAGAAGCAUUUGAAGCAUGUUUAACCAAGAGGAGAAAAUGAGAGAGUGAUUUGGAUUAUUGUAAUACAUAUGCUUGUUUGUUGUGGACUGUCUUAGAAAUUAUAUGUAGGACAUUGGCAUA